GAGUUUGAUCGAUGGCUCAGGAUGAACGCUAGCUACAGGCUUAANACAUGCAAGUCGAGGGCAGCAUGGUCUUAGCUGCUAAGGCCGAUGGCGACCGGCGCACGGGUGAGUAACGCGUAUCCAACCUGCCUUACACUCUUGGACAGCCUUCUGAAAGGGAGAUUAAUACAAGAUGUUAUCAUGAGUAAGCAUUUUCGCAUGAUUAAAGGUUUACCGGUGUAAGAUGGGGAUGCGUUCCAUUAGAUAGUAGGCGGGGUAACGGCCCACCUAGUCUUCGAUGGAUAGGGGUUCUGAGAGGAAGGUCCCCCCACAUUGGAACUGAGACACGGUCCAAACUCCUACGGGAGGCAGCA
rnacentral:rRNA from 1 species